rnacentral:rRNA from 1 species
GAUGAACGCUGGCGGCGUGCCUAAUACAUGCCAGUCGAGCGAACAGACGAGGAGCUUGCUCCUCUGACGUUAGCGGCGGACGGGUGAGUAACACGUGGAUAACCUACCUAUAAGACUGGGAUAACUUCGGGAAACCGGAGCUAAUACCGGAUAAUAUAUUGAACCGCAUGGUUCAAUAGUGAAAGACGGUUUUGCUGUCACUUAUAGAUGGAUCCGCGCCGCAUUAGCUAGUUGGUAAGGUAACGGCUUACCAAGGCAACGAUGCGUAGCCGACCUGAGAGGGUGAUCGGCCACACUGGAACUGAGACACGGUCCAGACUCCUACGGGAGGCAGCAGUAGGGAAUCUUCCGCAAUGGGCGAAAGCUUGACGGAGCAACGCCGCGUGAGUGAUGAAGGUCUUCGGAUCGUAAAACUCUGUUAUUAGGGAAGAACAGAUGUGUAAGUAGCUAUGCACGUCUUGACGGUACCUAAUCAGAAAGCCACGGCUAACUACGUG